AAAGGAAUAGACGGGGACCCGCACAAGCGGUGGAGCAUGUGGUUUAAUUCGAGGCAACGCGAAGAACCUUACCAGGCCUUGACAUGGGAAGUAUGGGUAGCAGAAACGUUACUCUUCAGUUCGGCUGGCUUCCACACAGGUGCUGCAUGGCUGUCGUCAGCUCGUGUCGUGAGAUGUUGGGUUAAGUCCCGCAACGAGCGCAACCCUCGUCUUUAGUUGCCAGCACGUAAUGGUGGGAACUCUAAAGAAACUGCCGAUGAUAAGUCGGAGGAAGGUGGGGAUGACGUCAAGUCUUCAUGGCCCUUACGGCCUGGGCUACACACGUGCUACAAUGGUAGUGACAAUGCGCUGCUAACUCGCGAGAGUAAGCGAAUCGCAAAAAGCUAUCUCAGUUCGGAUUGCACUCUGCAACUCGAGUGCAUGAAGUUGGAAUCGCUAGUAAUCGUAGAUCAGCAUGCUACGGUGAAUACGUUCCCGGGUCUUGUACACACCGCCCGU
rnacentral:rRNA from 1 species